rnacentral:lncRNA from 1 species
AAAAAAAUGAUCUCUGAAGUCCUACCUUAUUUACUUGGAAUUUAUCUUGGCUUCUGGAGCAUUUUCUCAUAUAUAGAAGUUUUGAAACAGUAGAACUCUUUCUUAUAAUAUCCCUUGACUCAUAAGUCACAGGAGAACUAAUAACACUCUAAACGUUUCUAGAAAGUUUAAGGCGAUAUUCAUUCUCCAGCAUCAGGAGAUGAGCAUAUGGGUCCAGUGGGCUUUCGGAACCACCUCCUCACUGACAAGGAUGGAUUUUACUUCUAGCCAAGAAGAGAAUAGAGGGAGCUGACACAGGCUUUCUAUUUUUUACUC